CCCGUCAUCCAGCCACACGUGACUGCGCUUUCCUCUGCCUCACUGGCCGCGCAUCCCUAAACCGUCUGCCCGGCUCCUUUUGGGGGUUAGGCAGAGGCCCCGACAGAGCUCAUGUGGAGUGUCUUUGGGGACUUACUUCUUCUAUCCAGUCCUUUCUACCUUGUCCAACAGCUGGAGAAAAUGUGUGUUGGGGCCUGAUGAAGUGGGCGCCAUGCUGAGGAGGCAGGGCGCUGGCAGCUGGGACCUGAGGCCGGCCUCUAGUCAACGCCAGCAAACGCGGGACGCCCGGGUGGUUCGGCUGCAAGGAAGCAAGUCUGCCCCCGACCUGCGUGAGCGCGGAGGGGCUGUGCCGGGUCAGCCUCCGAGGAGGACGCAGCCUGGGAGCGCUGCGCAGGGACGCAGCCAGACUGCUCAGACUCCUGCCGCACGAAGCCGCAGUGGAAUCCUCGGUGUCAUUUUGAGCUGCUAAACUUGUGGUGGCCUGUUGUAUGACAACAGAAAGCUAAUAUGGGGGAUUGACCUGGAACAGGAGGUGGGAGGUGCUGAGGACAGACGCCACCUACAGCACGGCGGCCUGCUCCUCACUCCUGCAGGCUCUGGCCUUGUCCAAAAUGUCCAGAAUAUUCCAUCCUGACCACCUUG